UUAGCUUGGCUUUCCACUUGCUGAUUUCUUGGGCUUAAAUCUCCUCACCCCGGGGAAGCCCGGUGCCUUCACCUGCUGAAAAUACAGGCAAAGGCCUGCAGUCUCUGGGCGACCUUACCCCUGCCAUGUGAGUUCACAACACUCAUGGGACAGGCUUUAUGGAUGUGGAAACUGCAGCUUCCAGAAGAGCUCAGGACUCCCAGCGCGGGGCUCCUCCUCCUGCAUCACCAAGGUCCCUGGGAUAAGGUGCUGGGGAUGCAGCCGUGAACAAGACCAGCUCCCUGCCUUCAUGGUGCUGAGGAUCGAGGUCUUCUCUCUCCUCCUUUCUCACCUCUGACAUACAGACACCUGGAAACACACUGCAAAGCUCCAAAGAGAAAUGUAGCGUGUAUUGGAAAUGGCUCUUGGAUGGAUAAGAAGAGGCAAUCUCUCCUCCAACUGAAGCAAGCAGCCGGGCUGUGAGACGCUCUAUGGAGACACCUACCUGGCAGGGAACCAAGGGUGGCCUCUGACUGACGGCUCCUGAGAAACUGGAGCCUCAGUCCCCCGCCGGGAGGAACUGGAUGCUGCCAACGACUCUGUGAGUGAGCCGGUUUGCCGACCCGCCAAGCUUGACCUUGAGGGGCACCUGGCCUGCCCGACACCGUGACUGCAGCCUGUGAAUCUCAAAGCCGGAGGCUCCAGCUGGCCCCCCCUGGAUUCCUGACCUGCAGAAACUGUGAGAUAGUAAACGUUGUUUGCAAGCCUCUGAACUCUGGGACAAUUUGAUAUGUAGUAGAGGGAGGGGAUGAUAAACUGUUAAUAUAGUAGAAUAGAAUAGAAUAGAAUAGAAUAGAAUAGAAUAGAAUAGAAAAGAAUAGAUAUAAGUGCGGAAAGAAUAUAUCGACUGGUGACAAGGUGGUGCUGAGCAUGAAUAAAGGGCCCCAUACUAAAGAGUGACAGGCUGGCGUGGUGACAGUUGGUGUCUCAGGGUGGGCCGGACUCUAAAAUUCCUUGGAUCCAGUGCUCUUGGUGAAGAUUCAGCGUACUCUGCAGGUCUGUUCCAAGGGCAUCCUGCCUUGGGUCAAAUACCCCUGCUGACGGAAACGCCCAUCUUCUCGAUUACUCUAUCCCAUCUUUGGGUGUGAAAAAUAUUUGCUGCUGAGUGAAAAUCAGCAGCCCUGUGGUUUUAUCUCCCUGCUCCUGUUCCUUUCGUGGCCACAUGCCCACUCUGGUGUUUUGAGCUCCUCUCCCAGACAACCGUCUAGCCCUUCCUUGCUUGCUCUCUAUUCCCUGAGCAACCUCUCCUUUCCUUCUAGACUCUUGGCCUCAUUUGUUUCAAUGCCACUUCUAACCUUUGUGAUUGGAGACUUUCGAACUCCCCUUCCUCUACUCCUUGGGUCUCUCUCCACAGUCUCUACUCUCGCUAGUGGUCUUGGUAUUAUUCCCAUAUUACAGAGGGGCUUUAAGUGACUUUGCCUGCAUCCCUUAACUGGGACAUAGCAGGGCUGGGAUUUAAAAAUGGGCCUGCCCAGCUCUGGAAACCCAAGCUCUGUUCAAGAAAACAAGGUAUUCCAGUCCCUAUGACUGAGGAACACGUUUCACAAAAUUUAGUGGCAUAAGACAACCGUCUUUUGGGCUCAUGUAUAAAUGCAGAGAGGGCACAGCACGGAGGGCUUGCUUCCAAUCCACGGUGUCUAAAGUUUCAGCUGGAGGACUCGAAGUCUGGAGACUGUGCUCUUUGGAAGGCUCACUUGCCCCACUCUGCCCAUUGAGGCUGCCUUGAAGCUGGGGGCCUCAGUUCCUCUCCAUGUGGACAGGGUCUAUUUCUGGGCUCUUCCUUUGUAAGAGCUCUGAAUUCUCUGAUCCUCUCCUCUCUCUUGCUCUCAUUCUCUACUUGGACGAACUUGGGCUUCCUUCCAAUAUGGCGGCCCCCACAUUUGCGGGUCCAGAAAGAAGAGAGAGAACCAAGCAGACACCAUACCUGCUUUUAUGAGUUCUCUUCCAAAGGGAGCAGUAUCACAUCUGCUGGGUUGUACUUGUCAAGGCCGUCACAGGGGACUGUGUGAACCCCUGCCAAAGGAAAAUCGGCUCCCCAUUUGGAUGGAGGAGUAUCAAGGUUUGGAAAGGAAAUGUAUGACCAGACACACUGCCCUGGCUGGCUACUUUUGGACAAUGCAACCAGCCACAUAAUGGACCCUGAAGGAAUGCAUCCAGGAGAUGGGGGGCUCACCAGGGAGACUUUGUCCCAAUCUUUCUAAUGCUUGGACCCAACAAAUGGAGACACACAUCAUGUUUGUUGA